UGACCCUCUUUCAUGCUUUGUAAAUUAAUGCAAACCGAAGAACCCAACAAGGGCAUAACUCCAUAGGAGUGACACUAAGAACACAUAUGGUUGAAUUGCUAUCUCCACUGCAUAUUCAUAUGUUGUACAGUACAAAUUUUCGAUGCACAUACAGUUGUUUGUGAGACAUUGUGUGAACCAUCCAUUUGUGUUCUCAGGUCACCCCUUUGGAGCACCCUGUUUCCUUUCUUUCACGAUGUACAACUCCAAGAUGCACAAACGUUAUGGGGAUUAUUGUUCAUCAAGGCUUCAAAGUCACAUUAAAGGAAAAACACGAUUUUUGGUGAACUUGACAACAAGAAACCUCUUCCAAUCCCCAAUAACGUCAUCAAAGGUUAUGAUUAUCAGCAAUAACUCAUCACCAACAUUCCAUCAUCAUCCAUCGAGUUUACCACAACCAUGAAGAUUUCAACCCAGAUCAAGAUGUGUUUUUCUGAAAAGAUGGAAGGCUAAAUUCUUUAAGAUUAUUUUUGUGAAUGUUAUAUGAUGUUAGGAUGAACACAUUUUGAUUAUUACAAUGAUUCCAAACAAUUUAUAGUAUUCUUAUGUUUUAGACGUUAAUCAUUCGGCUAUGGUAUUUGAAAUUGUGUUU